UGGUAUUCUUUCUCUGCUCAGAGAGGAAGAAUAGAUCACUUAAUGCUCUGAAGUUUACACCCAUGCUUUCCUCUGUUAGCUCUUUUGGCCCAGUCUGGAGAGAGAAAAAAAUUGAUUGGGGGUCUGUUAAUCAAAAUUGGAUCCAGUUUGGCCAUAAGCAAAUAUGCAGACAUUGUAACCAUCAAGGACAGACCGAAUGAGGGGCCGAGUGUCUGAGAAUACUUCCUCUGCAAAGAAGCCAACAAACUUGAGUGAGAACAUUUGCAGAGAAACCCAGAAUACCCUUGAUAAAAGUGUGUGCACCAACUAACCUUGGGUUGCUGAAGGACCAAAUACUUUGUUGAAUGUAAAUGACUUCCUGGCCUCCUUUCCAUAUUUAGAUAAGGUAUUCACUGUAAUAUUUCCAUCCUCUAGGCGGUCCACAGUGCUUAGACGAUUUGCUUGCCCAGGUAAAAAUGGUCUCACGCGACAAUAUACUCUAAUGUUUCCUACUCAAACACACAAGGAACCAUUAGACUGUAGAUAGAAAGUCAGCGCAUGAGACGUCCGGUACUUUUACUUCAAGUUGACAAUGAAACCUGGGGAACAAUACCUUUCAAGUCUUGCACCUGAUUAUACAACCUUCGAUUUUCCUCAAGAACCUUUUGGUAUCUAGAAGCAGCUUGAGCUAGACUAUGUAGGUAUUUACCUAUUCAUGAGAUUAUCAGCAAGAAAGAUCAGAAAAUUUGGUAAAAGCGCUGGAAACAAGUGUGAACUCAGUUAGUUUACCAAGAUUGGCAAGCUCCUCCAUAUGCUUCAUUUGUAAAGACUGCAUUCCUUCUUUCGUUGUACAUACAGUUAGCUUCAGCUCCUGCAAAUAGCAAUAGAGUACCAUAAAGUAACCUCUUGUAGGCAUUUGAAAAUUUUCUUAAUUAGAUGAUUGCACUGAAGAUACCUGAA